GGGGGGAAUUCCAGGGGAAUCGCUGAGAACAAAAGAGGAGUUAUAGGGGUCAGGGUAAGACAUGCUGUGGGGUCAGAAAAGCACCCAGGCGGAUUGAGAGCUGGAAGAUGUGGACAUGAGGACACAGAGUGCAUUAAGCACCGAUGACACUCUCCCAAUUGGGCACAGAAUUUGGUUGAGAUGUCAACUAACGUGAGUUCAAUGUGAAAUCAACAAAAAUGUCACCAAGUCAUUGGAUUUAGGUUAAAAGUUGGGUGAAAAAAAUAUGAAAUUACAGUACAGUUUUCCACAUUGAUUCAAUGACAACAUAUAUAAUUUUGGGGUUGAAAUGACAUUGAAACAACGUUGAUAUGCCCAGUUUUUGCCCAGUGGGUUCGUCUGCGGUUGACAGAAGCUGAGGUGUGCUUUUUACUGUCUAAUGCUCGAGGGGGGAAAUGACAGGUGUCUGCUUUGUUGGAUCUGGGGCCUCUCCUGUCUGACUAGAUGAUUUCUAUGUUUAAGUUCUGUUCCACCUGCGGAGAGUGGACGGAGGUGUGAGAUUGAGGGUGUUACAGGCAUUCUUUCCUCAUGGCAAACUCCAUACAGAAACAAGCCAAUUAGAAAGAAAGAAACUGGUAUGUGGAGAAAAAUGAUGCAAUUUAACUCUACUUCCCUAAGAACACAAGCAUACCUCACUGUGCUGGUAGUCGGGAGUUGGAGCAUUUAUUUGUUUAUUUUUCGGGGCAGUUUUCUCACUGUUUACUCUCCUUGCCUGCUGUUGCUGUUGCAGCUCAGCACUGGUCUGUAUCAGGGAGAGGAAAACUACAUGCCCCACAUCUCAGGAACCUUUAUCCCUUUUCCUGAAGGCCUGCUUUCCGAGGCCUGUUGGGACAAGAGGGGGAGAAGGCCUGCUUUAUGAUGACUGUUGGGACAGGAGGGGGAGAAGGCCUGCUUUAUGAGGACUGUUGGGACAGGAGGGGGAGAAGGCCUGCUUUAUGAGGACUGUUGGGACAGGAGGGGGAGAAGGCCUGCUUUCUGAGGCCUGUUGGGACAGGAAGGGGAGAAGGCCUGCUUUAUGAGGACUGUUGGGACAGGAAGGGGAGAAGGCUUGCUUUAUGAGGACUGUUGGGACAGGAAGGGGAGAAGGCCUGCUUUCUGAGGCCUGUUGGGACAGGAGGGGGAGAAGGG
rnacentral:lncRNA from 1 species